rnacentral:rRNA from 1 species
GUGGCCUACGGGGCGCAGCAGUGGGGAAUAUUGCACAAUGGGGGGAACCCUGAUGCAGCGACGCCGCGUGGGUGAAGAAGUCAUUCGUGACGUAAAGCCCUAUCAGCAGGGAAGAAAAUGACGGUACCUGACUAAGAAGCCCCGGCUAAAUACGUGCCAGCAGCCGCGGUAAUACGUAUGGUGCAAGCGUUAUCCGGAUUUACUGGGUGUAAAGGGAGCGCAGGCGGCGCGUUAAGCCUGGUGUGAAAGCCCGCGGCCCAACCGCGGG